AUUGAACGCUGGCGGCAGGCUUAACACAUGCAAGUCGAGCGGGGUGAUGGUGCUUGCACUAUCACUUAGCGGCGGACGGGUGAGUAAUGCUUAGGAAUCUGCCUAUUAGUGGGGGACAACAUCUCGAAAGGGAUGCUAAUACCGCAUACGUCCUACGGGGGAAAGCAGGGGAUCACUUGUGACCUUGCGCUAAUAGAUGAGCCUAAGUCGGAUUAGCGAGUUGGUGGGGUAAAGGCCUACCAAGGCGGCGAUCUGUAGCGGGUCUGAGAGGAUGAUCCGCCACACUGGGACUGAGACACGGCCCAGACUCCUACGGGAGGCAGCAGUGGGGAAUAUUGGACAAUGGGGGGAACCCUGAUCCAGCCAUGCCGCGUGUGUGAAGAAGGCCUUAUGGUUGUAAAGCACUUUAAGCGAGGAGGAGGCUCUUUUGGUUAAUACCCAAGAUGAGUGGACGUUACUCGCAGAAUAAGCACCGGCUAACUCUGUGCCAGCCGCCGCCGUAA
rnacentral:rRNA from 1 species